GAAUCCCGUCUUUGACACGGACUACCAGUGCUAUGUGAUGCGCUCUCGACGAGUCGAGUUGUUUGGGAAUGCAGCUCAAAACGGGUGGUAAAUUCCAUCUAAAGCUAAAUACAGGCGAGAGACCGAUAGCGAACAAGUACCGUGAGGGAAAGAUGAAAAGAACUUUGGAAAGAGAGUUAAACCGUACGUGAAAUUGCUGAAAGGGAAACGCUUGACGUCAGUCGCGUCGGCCGGGGAUCAACCUCGCUUUUCGCUGGGUGUAUUUCCUGGUCGACGGGUCAGCAUCGGUUUCGGUCGCCGUACAAGGGCGAGGGGAACGUGGCACUCUCCGGAGUGUGUUAUAGCCCUUCGUCGCAUGCGGUGGUCGGGAUUGAGGAACUCGGCACGUACCGUGCUUAGGAUGUUGGCAUAAUGGCUUUAAACGACCCGUCUUGAAACACGGACCAAGGAGUCUAACAUGCCCGCGAGUGUUCGGGUGGAAAACCCGUGCGCGUAAUGAAAGUAAAAGUUGGGACCCCUGUCGUGGGGGGCACCGACGCCCGGACCAGACCUUCUGUGACGGAUCUGCGGUAGAGCGUGCAUGUUGGGACCCGAAAGAUGGUGAACUAUGCCUGAAUAGGGUGAAGCCAGAGGAAACUCUGGUGGAGGCUCGUAGCGAUUCUGACGUGCAAAUCGAUCGUCAAAUUUGGGUAUAGGGGCGAAAGACUAAUCGAACCAUCUAGUAGCUGGUUCCUGCC
rnacentral:rRNA from 1 species